rnacentral:rRNA from 1 species
CCUACGGGAGGCAGCAGUGAGGAAUAUUGGUCAAUGGACGAGAGUCUGAACCAGCCAAGUAGCGUGAAGGAUGACUGCCCUAGGGGUUGUAAACUUCUUUUAUAUGGGAAUAAAAUGUUCCACGUGUGGGAUUUUGUAUGUACCAUAUGAAUAAGGAUCGGCUAACUCCAUGCCAGCAGCCGCGGUAAUACGGAGGCUCCGAGCGUUAUCCGGAUGUAUUGGGGUUAAAGGGAGCGUAGGUGGAUUGUUAAGUCAGUUGUGAAAGUUUGCGGCUCAACCGUAAAAUUGCAGUUGAAACUGGCAGUCUUGAGUACAGUAGAGGUGGGCGGAAUUCGUGGUGUAGCGGUGAAAUGCUUAGAUAUCACGAAGAACUCCGAUUGCGAAGGCAGCUCACUGGACUGCAACUGACACUGAGGCUCGAAAGUGUGGGUAUCAAACAGGAUUAGAUACCCGGGUAGUC